rnacentral:lncRNA from 1 species
CCCGAAUCGGUUGACCUGCGGCUUGACAGAAUGAGGUGGUCUUCUGUUUUUCUCCUUUUUUUUGUUUAAUAAACCAUAUCAUUUGUAAUUUGAAAAUACCAUGAUGUAAACUGGCCCAAAAUAUAUAAACCCAUUUCACCCUCAAAUAACCCUAUUCAACUCAGAUUCUUCCAUCUCUCCAUAGAACCCAUCGACGACUCUACUCCAGCAACGAUAGAGACGCCAUCUUCUGAAAUGGAAUGCACGUUGUCGAAAUAUUCGACCUUUCCUUUAUUUCAGCAAGAAGUUUGGCCGCAUUUCGUUGAAUCGUGGAUGCCACAACCCAUCUUCUCGGACCAUAUCUGCAAAAACUCAAGUAUAAAUACAUAUAAGUGAAAGGUAGAGUAAAACCCAUCACAAAUAUUACAGCUUUGGAGGUGGAAUUGUAAGAGGGUUGGAUGAAAUUUGUGCUGGCCAUGGCUGUGGGUUUUUAACGGCUUGUUAGGGCUACACUGAUGUUAUCGACUUGCUUCUCUAUCGUGGCGCCAAAGUCGACAUCAAGGACCGGUGGGGAAGCACGGUAUGCUUGCCUUUGUAAUUAAUGUGUAAAACAGAAUUGUUAAUAUUCGGAAUUUUAAUGUCAAUUAAUUAAGUUGGAGAAAAUUUAUAAAAGCUUCAAAUUAUUUUUUUUCAAAUUAGUUACUAACAAUUUAGUGAUUAUAAUAAUUUGGACGAGUUCAUCACUUAAUUUCGCUCUAAUAUUAGAAGCUACUGUUUGACGAGGGUAAAACCUGAAUGAUUAUGAGAUAGAAAGUGGGGGAUAGGGCCAUGGGGAGUAAUCUGUUUGUGUAGCUGAGAUGUAUGAAAGUCUUAUUUCCAUUUCUUAAGAAGGAUUAUUUUAGCAUGAUCUUUGUGAUGUGUUCCCUUUUUUUUUUUGUAUCAAUCUUAGUUUGGCAUAAUUGGCAAUUUGUCAUAAUGUAAUGGAAAAUAUGGAAUAGUAAGAAGGCAAUUUCCACACUAUAGAUCUACUGAACUAUUCUUUGUCAAAUUUUAUCUUAUUAGGUGUUUGAUUCUCAACUUACCAUGAGAGGAAAGAAAGAGCACGGUUAACUGAUGAACAAGACACAGAGAUUUCUACGAAUGUGACUGUACGCAAAGAAAGAGCACGUAAUUGAAGGGAAUGAGAUUGGAAUUGGGUCGACUAGAAUUGUACUUUCCUUUAAAUGAAAUUGUAAUUUCAGUUAUGUGAAUAUAUGUUUUCUUGAAAUGAAUGUUAUCUUUGAUGCUGGUUGACUUGGCAGUUCAAAUUUAUGUUUCAUUCUUAGAGUUGUAAGUUUUGAGUUACCUUCGACUGGAAGUCCUAGGGAGAAAUCUGGACUGGAUCUUUUGGACAAAAAUGAACUUUUGUAAUGAAAUUUGUCAUAUUAAUGUAUUUGUUUGAAAUUUGUCACAUUAUUCUAUUUCGUUUCACAUCUAUUUAGAGCCUCUUUCUACCUAUCAUCUUGGACGGAUGUUUGCUUAUAUGCUUCAAAGGUCGUCAAACAAAACUUGAUUAUCAAUUCAACUUCAAAAAAUGUCAAUUCCCCAACCAAAAACACAGCAAUUCUAUGUAAAUAUAACAUAAGUGAUGGCUGUAAUUUCUCACUGUCCUUGGCUUCCAGUGCCCUAAAUUGUUUGCAAAAAC